rnacentral:rRNA from 1 species
UGGGGAAUAUUGGACAAUGGGCGAAAGCCUGAUCCAGCAAUGCCGCGUGAGUGAUGAAGGCCUUAGGGUUGUAAAGCUCUUUUACCCGGGAUGAUAAUGACAGUACCGGGAGAAUAAGCUCCGGCUAACUCCGUGCCAGCAGCCGCGGUAAUACGGAGGGAGCUAGCGUUGUUCGGAAUUACUGGGCGUAAAGCGCACGUAGGCGGCUCAGCAAGUCAGGGGUGAAAUCCCGGGGCUCAACCCCGGAACUGCCCUUGAAACUGCUAGGCUAGAAUCUUGGAGAGGCGAGUGGAAUUCCGAGUGUAGAGGUGAAAUUCGUAGAUAUUCGGAAGAACACCAGUGGCGAAGGCGACUCGCUGGACAAGUAUUGACGCUGAGGUGCGAAAGCGUGGGGAGCAAACA